UUAAACGCUGCAGAUAUCUGUAUUAUUUAGCAAGUUACAUACACGAACUAUUUUCUCACAUUUUGGCAUAUAUCCGCCACGUGGUGUCCCUUCUUUCUUUUCUUCAGCGACCGAACUGGUUUGCUGUUCAUAAUUGUGGGAUAAAAUGGCUUGUGCACGGCCAUUAGUGUCCGUGUAUUCGGAAAAGGGUGUUGCUUCGGGGUCCAUUACAUUGCCAGCAGUUUUCAAGGCUCCGAUCCGUCCAGACAUUGUUAACUUUGUUCAUACAAAUAUCAGCAAGAACCACAGGCAGGCAUAUGCUGUGAAAUCUAUU